rnacentral:rRNA from 1 species
AGCUCCAAUAGCGUAUAUUAAAGUUGCUGCAGUUAAAAAGCUCGUAGUUGCAUUUCCGAGGCAAGGGAUUAGUCCGACCUUUGGUGGGUAUUUAAUCCUCUUGCCUCGUCCUUGAGUGGUGCUUCUUGGUAUUAAGUUAUCGAGGAGAUAGCCGCUCAUCGUUUACUGUGAGAAAAUUAGAGUGUUCAAAGCAGGCUUAUGCCGUUGAAUAUAUUAGCAUGGAAUAAUAAGAUAGGACCUCGGUACUAUUGUGUUGGUUUGAGAACCAAGGUAAUGAUGAAUAGGGACAGUUGGGGGUAUUCGUAUUCAGUUGUCAGAGGUGAAAUUCUUAGAUUUUCGGAAGACGAACUACUGCGAAAGCAUUUACCAAGGAUGUUUUCA